UUCCUAAGUUAACUAAAGAAUAACAAGUCCGGUGUGCCAACCCUUUCAUUAUCGUUCUUCUUCAUCUUUCUUCAAACCCCUUUCAUUUUUUCAUCACAUCGUUCCUUCUUCUUCUUCAUCUUUCUGCAAACCCACAAACCCACGAAUCCAAACCCGCGAAUUCAAACCCGCGAAUCCAAAUCCAUUUUUCAUCCUUCAACGUUCGUUUUUCAUCAAACCCAACCACAUUUAACCUUGUGAAAACGUUUUCGUCCUUCAUCAGGGAAAACGUGAAUCGUCAAUGGCAGCUUUUAGCCUUCAUCGCCGGCGAGUUGGUCCGGCGCAGCUUUCAGUCAAUUUAUUUUACUAUUGAGAAGUGUUUGUGGCUUUCUCCGUCAUCAUCUUCUCUACCAUCGAUGAUCGGGUUGGUCGAAGAGUCUUGUUUAUAACGGGUGGCAUUCUUAUGUUUUUCAGUCAAAUUGCGCUGGCAGAGGCGUCCGGUUCGCACGGCACAGGGAGAAUAUCAAAGGGCAAUGCUACACUGUUAUUAGUGUUGAUGUGUUUUUACUCUUCAGGUUUUGGUUGGUCAUGCGGUCCUCUAUUAUGGCUAAUUCCAAGUGAAAUUUUCCCAUCGACAAUACGAAGCAUAGGACAAAGCAUAGCUGUUGCUGUGCAGUUCAUAACUAUAUUUGUGUUAUCUCAGACAUUCUUGACAAUGCUAUGUCACUUAAAGUUUGGUGCUUUCUUGUUUCAUGCUACUUGGAUUGUAGUAAUGACCCUAUUUAUUAUAUUGUUCUUGCCAGAAACCAAAGGACUUCAUUUGGAUUCAAUCUAUGCCAUAUGGUGUAAACACUGGUUUUGGCGCUGCUAUGUUAAAGGAGAAGUUCUUCGAAAUCAGCGAUGAGUUUUUUUUAUAGCUAGUUGUUGUAUAGGCUCAAAUGUUUUGUAUAUUAUAGCAAGGUUAAAAAUAUUGAUCAGGCUGAUUCUUGCAAGAUUACUCCGGCCAAAUUUUCUGGUUCUAAAGAAGUUGUGCUGCUUCAUUCUCGAAAAUCAGAGUAGUAACAGACUAAAUGAUCAAGAUGCGGAUAUUUGGAGAAUCAAAACCAUUCGAAGAUGAAGAAAUGAUGAAUGUCCGACAACGUUGUGCAAACUUGAUUCUUGAACUAAUAGAAAAUGCUUGAAGCACUUGUAUCAUUUUAG